GCGCCUGUUUAUCAAAAACAUGUCUUUUUGAAAAUAAUAAAAAGUCUAACCUGCCCACUGAAAAUAUUUUAAAGGGCCGCGGUAUAUUGACUGUGCAAAGGUAGCAUAAUCAUUUGUCUCUUAAUUGGAGGCUAGAAUGAAUGGUUGAAUGAAGUAUUAACUGUCUCAUUUUAAUAAAUAUAAAAAUUUAAUUUUUAGUUAAAAAUCUAAAAUUUAUUUAGAGGACGAGAAGACCCUAUAAAUCUUUAUUUUAUUAAUUAUUUUAAAUUUUAGAAUAUAAUUAUUUAUUAUAAUUGAUAAAAUUUUGUUGGGGUGACAGGAAAAUUUAAUAAACUUUUUUUAAUAUAAACAUAAAUUUAUGAUUAAUUGAUCCAAUUUUAUUGAUUAAAAGAUUAAGAUACUUUAGGGAUAACAGCGUAAUUUUUUUAGAGAGUUCUUAUCGAUAAAAAAGAUUGCGACCUCGAUGUUGAAUUAAAGAUAGUUUUAGAUGUAGCAGUUUAAUAAUUAGGUCUGUUCGACCUUUAAAUCUUUACAUGAUCUGAGUUCAAACCGG
rnacentral:rRNA from 1 species